rnacentral:lncRNA from 3 species
UACAGCGGAAUUUGCCCUGAAUGGGCCACAACACCGUGGGCUAGCCCAUUGCCCAGCCCAGCCCAGCCCAGUCAACAUCUCCUCCUGAUUCCCCAAGCUGCCAACCAACCCAGCGGCGGCCGGCUGGCCGAUGGAAAAGCUGGUGAUGAGACGCGUGCGGCGGCGGAGCGAGCUGUUGUAACGCAAGCGGUGGCGCGAGUGAGGUCGGCGGCAGUAUCCUCCGUCGUCGCCUCGUUGGGAGCGGUCGCGUCUCACGGUCAGGCCGCCGCUAGCUGGGAUUUGAGGAAAGAGGUGCCAACCAAAAUUUUCUUGUGGUUCAGGUUGUCUCAAACAAAAUUUCCUAAGCAUCCGAAGGUGCCCAGCCACAUCGCACAUAUCAGGACGUCUAUGAAUGUCCUCUGUUAGGCAUUCCUGCACUAAUUUUCCAAUCUCCACUAGAACCUUCAUGUUGCUCUCAUUUGCUAUUUUGGGAUCAAGCAAUUCUCACUCCCUUUCCUUCAGCACGAGCUUGAGAGAGACUAACUGCCCUUUUCUUGGUGAUAAGUUCCAGAAGAACAACUCCAAGACUAUAAACAUCACUUUUUGGGGUGAGACGCCCCUCCCGGUAAUACAGGGGAUCCAUGUAACCUAUACUCCCUAUCAAAUUUUCAGUAUGAGUUUUGUCUAUUGAUAGGAGCCUAGAUAUUCCAAAAUCAGAUAUUUUUGCAUUAAAAUUGUCACCCAGUACUAUGUUGGAAGGCUUGACAUCACCAUGUAGAACAGGGCUGCACAUAGAAUGCAAAUACCCUAGAGCAUCUGCACACUCUAUAGCAAUAUUCAAUCUUGCGUCUAAUGAGUCAAGGCUAUUCUCGAC